ncrna:unclassified sequences DTF3800-XI RNA
UGGCUUGGGCGUAAGCUCUUUGGGCCACCGCAGGCGGGAAGAAUUUCC